CAAACAUCAAACUCUGAUCGGGAAAUCCUACCAGGGACAAGUUGUAAAUGCUCAAAGGAACUACCCUGGCUGAGGAACUCGGAAAUGAAUCUUUCGUCAACAAAUGACAUGCUGGGGAUGAAAAAGGGAGAUAAGCCCUUCACCAAUUGCUCUAGACAACUUCCUGCUAAGGAGACAAUUAUCUGGAAAGAUAGCUCUGCAGGGAACACAUGCUUACUCCGCUGAGAACUUCUACUCAUACUGGGGAAAGAUGAAC
rnacentral:lncRNA from 1 species